GUGGCCAUAGCUCAACGGCAGAGCGCGAGGUUGUGGACCUUGAGGUUGCGCGUUCGAAUCGCGUUGGCCACC
rnacentral:tRNA from 1 species